AGAAGCUGCCUGGCCACCAGAGAGGCCAGACGCUGAUGCCCUAGCUCCUGCUGGGGAGACUCCUGCCGCCUGUGACUGACCCGAGGACUGGCCAUACCUGCGGAGGCUGGAUGCUGACCAGACGCCGGAAGAGUCAGUAAGCCGACCGGGUACAAAGAGACCCAGAGGAGCUGCCCAGUUUACCCCUCGCUCAGUAUCCCGAGGAGCCCAUGGUGUUGGACGCCGUGGAAGACGCCGCUGAGACGCAGAGCCUUCCACCUCUGCAGACCAGCUACAGUCCACUAGGAGCCUGGCAGGGGUCAUACUUUCAGGAUGCAGUUAAAGACCACAUCAUGUGAUCGUGUUUGCAGUGACCUUAUGGUAGAUAUCCUGGAUAGAGUCACCCAGCAGCUACAAUAUUAGAGGGAGAAGGAUGGACAUUUCAAGGUGAAAGGCAGAGGGAGGCUGCAAAACACAAGGAGAGACUGGAAGCACAGUUCCUUGAGUAGGAACGUUGUUUGAGGGAGGAAGAUCGAGCACAGCAGAAGGGCCUGUUUGAGAGGCUGCUUGUGUUCAUGGCUAUGAGAGUGCAGACUCCUGCUCCACCCGCACCUCCUGCUCCAGGCCCACAUCCGGAGUCCCCUCCACACUACCAUAUUGUGCAGUCCUCCACCCCGGUGCAGCAGCACCAAGUGCAUUCAAAAUGCACUAGGAGGGCAAAGGAGAACAGUGGGGGCAGGGGACACUUGAAAAUAGGGGAGUUUCCAAUGCACUGGUUUCAUUGCUCAUUGUUAGUGCUAUGCACUUUAUUUUAUUUCUGUUUGGGUAAUUUCAUGGCAGCUGGCCUGCCUAUCAGUUUUUUUUAAAUCUUGUUAUUUUCUAAUACAGUCAUGUGAACAAAUAAAGGCUUUGAAUUAAUUAACAAAAGGUUAUUACCAUCACUACAAAUGAGCUACCUAAAGUGCAUUUCAAAGAAGAGAUAAAAACUUUGAGGCAUAAGUGGGAAGUCAUAUGCAAAAAUAUCUUAAUGUAUCCUUUCAGAUUCAUAAGUAAAAAUCACAGUUCAUCACACAGAAAAGUACAAAUGUACAAGAACCCCUUCCCCUCCCCCCAGCUUAUAAUACAAACAGCAUAAGUAAACAUACAUAAGAACCACCAUUUCUCCCGUUAAUAAGCUGACCUUCA